CGAAAUGCGAUAAGUAGUGUGAAUUGCAGAAUUCCGUGAAUCAUCGAAUCUUUGAACGCACAUUGCGCCUCCUGGUAAUUGGGGAGGCAUGCCUGUCCGAGCGUCACUGAAAUCAACUCAAGCACUUUUGUGCGUGGUCGUGGAGGAAGAGUCAGCCUCGUCGCAGUCUCCCCUCUGAAAAUCAAUGGCGGAAAGUCACCGGUACUCUGCGUAGUAGUUACGUUCGCUGAGCUUCUAGUGUCGUUCCCGCCUUCAAACCCCCACAAUUCUCUCGAUUGACCUCGGAUCAGGUAGGGAUACCCGCUGAACUUAAGCAUAUCAAUAAGCGGAGGAAAAGAAACCAACAGGGAUUGCCUUAGUAACUGCGAGUGAAGCGGCAAAAGCUCAAAUUUGAAAUCGGUGUCCAUCAAACGCCGAGUUGUAAUUUGGAGGGACAACUUCGGGCUGAACCACAUCGUAAGUUCCUUGGAACAGGACGUCAUAGAGGGUGAGAAUCCCGUGUCUUGAUGUCGGGUCAAACCAUGUGAAGUGUCUCCGACGAGUC
rnacentral:rRNA from 1 species